AGACAGAGUUCAGACAUUGAAACCAAACUCCAAGAAGAGAAAGUUUCUUCGUUUUCUCAUACAGCUUCAAAUUCAAAGGGGAGGUUAGUUGACAUACCAUUAAAAAGUUGUGACUCUGCUCUAAGAUCCAUGCAACAGACCGGCUGCGGCAGGGGUUCUGUACGUCCCAUUCUCUGAGAUUCAGCCCCAAGUGUGACACGAUAUUUUCACCUGAAACGAGGAUACCAAUGGGAUAUGGUGUUGCAGUCGGAUUUUUCAUAUACUUUUGAGUCUAGAGCAGAGUAAUCUGUGACCACAACCACUUUCUUAUACAUCUGGAAAACCAACCUGGUUGAGCCAAGGAAGAAGUAUGGCCAAAAAGAAAAUGAAAAGACAUGCGAAGGCAUAUCAAAGCAUCAUCUUUGAUCUUUCAGAACCAGAAGUUAUCCCUCAAGAAACCCACCAAGAGUCUCAUGACUCUACUGGAACGACUUCCCUUUUGUACGUUGUCUUUUCCUGAAGAAUUAUGGAAGACUCAAGAGAGCAAGAAACGUGAGUGCACAAAAACAAAAUGUAAACUUAAAUGCUUCCACUAGUAAUAUUUAAUUUUCCUUUAGUGUUGUUUUUAUUCUGGAUAAAGAAUAGAGAGCUCCAUCA